UUAAGCGACUAAGCGUACACGGUGGAUGCCCUGGCAGUCAGAGGCGAUGAAGGACGUGCUAAUCUGCGAUAAGCGUCGGUAAGGUGAUAUGAACCGUUAUAACCGGCGAUUUCCGAAUGGGGAAACCCAGUGUGUUUCGACACACUAUCAUUAACUGAAUCCAUAGGUUAAUGAGGCGAACCGGGGGAACUGAAACAUCUAAGUACCCCGAGGAAAAGAAAUCAACCGAGAUUCUCCCAGUAGCGGCGAGCGAACGGGGAGCAGCCCAGAGCCUGAAUCAGUGUGUGUGUUAGUGGAAGCGUCUGGAAAGGCGCGCGAUACAGGGUGACAGCCCCGUACACAAAAAUGCACAUGCUGUGAGCUCGAUGAGUAGGGCGGGACACGUGGUAUCCUGUCUGAAUAUGGGGGGGCCAUCCUCCAAGGCUAAAUACUCCUGACUGACCGAUAGUGAACCAGUACCGUGAGGGAAAGGCGAAAAGAACCCCGGCGAGGGGAGUGAAAAAGAACCUGAAACCGUGUACGUACAAGCAGUGGGAGCACGCUUAGGCGUGUGACUGCGUACCUUUUGUAUAAUGGGUCAGCGACUUAUAUUCUGUAGCAAGGUUAACCGAAUAGGGGAGCCGAAGGAAACCGAGUCUUAACUGGGCGUUAAGUUGCAGGGUAUAGACCCGAAACCCGGUGAUCUAGCCAUGGGCAGGUUGAAGGUUGGGUAACACUAACUGGAGGACCGAACCGACUAAUGUUGAAAAAUUAGCGGAUGACUUGUGGCUGGGGUGAAAGGCCAAUCAAACCGGGAGAUAGCUGGUUCUCCCGAAAGCUAUUUAGGUAGCGCCUCGUGAAUUCAUCUCCGGGGUAGAGCACUGUUUCGGCAAGGGGGUCAUCCCGACUUACCAACCCGAUGCAAACUGCGAAUACCGGAGAAUGUUAUCACGGGAGACACACGGCGGGUGCUAACGUCCGUCGUGAAGAGGGAAACAACCCAGACCGCCAGCUAAGGUCCCAAAGUCAUGGUUAAGUGGGAAACGAUGUGGGAAGGCCCAGACAGCCAGGAUGUUGGCUUAGAAGCAGCCAUCAUUUAAAGAAAGCGUAAUAGCUCACUGGUCGAGUCGGCCUGCGCGGAAGAUGUAACGGGGCUAAACCAUGCACCGAAGCUGCGGCAGCGACGCUUAUGCGUUGUUGGGUAGGGGAGCGUUCUGUAAGCCUGUGAAGGUGUGCUGUGAGGCAUGCUGGAGGUAUCAGAAGUGCGAAUGCUGACAUAAGUAACGAUAAAGCGGGUGAAAAGCCCGCUCGCCGGAAGACCAAGGGUUCCUGUCCAACGUUAAUCGGGGCAGGGUGAGUCGACCCCUAAGGCGAGGCCGAAAGGCGUAGUCGAUGGGAAACAGGUUAAUAUUCCUGUACUUGGUGUUACUGCGAAGGGGGGACGGAGAAGGCUAUGUUGGCCGGGCGACGGUUGUCCCGGUUUAAGCGUGUAGGCUGGUUUUCCAGGCAAAUCCGGAAAAUCAAGGCUGAGGCGUGAUGACGAGGCACUACGGUGCUGAAGCAACAAAUGCCCUGCUUCCAGGAAAAGCCUCUAAGCAUCAGGUAACAUCAAAUCGUACCCCAAACCGACACAGGUGGUCAGGUAGAGAAUACCAAGGCGCUUGAGAGAACUCGGGUGAAGGAACUAGGCAAAAUGGUGCCGUAACUUCGGGAGAAGGCACGCUGAUAUGUAGGUGAAGUCCCUCGCGGAUGGAGCUGAAAUCAGUCGAAGAUACCAGCUGGCUGCAACUGUUUAUUAAAACACAGCACUGUGCAAACACGAAAGUGGACGUAUACGGUGUGACGCCUGCCCGGUGCCGGAAGGUUAAUUGAUGGGGUUAGCCGCAAGGCGAAGCUCUUGAUCGAAGCCCGGUAAACGGCGGCCGUAACUAUAACGGUCCUAAGGUAGCGAAAUUCCUUGUCGGGUAAGUUCCGACCUGCACGAAUGGCGUAAUGAUGGCCAGGCUGUCUCCACCCGAGACUCAGUGAAAUUGAACUCGCUGUGAAGAUGCAGUGUACCCGCGGCAAGACGGAAAGACCCCGUGAACCUUUACUAUAGCUUGACACUGAACAUUGAGCCUUGAUGUGUAGGAUAGGUGGGAGGCUUAGAAGUGUGGACGCCAGUCUGCAUGGAGCCGACCUUGAAAUACCACCCUUUAAUGUUUGAUGUUCUAACGUUGACCCGUAAUCCGGGUUGCGGACAGUGUCUGGUGGGUAGUUUGACUGGGGCGGUCUCCUCCUAAAGAGUAACGGAGGAGCACGAAGGUUGGCUAAUCGGUCGGACAUCAGGAGGUUAGUGCAAUGGCAUAAGCCAGCUUGACUGCGAGCGUGACGGCGCGAGCAGGUGCGAAAGCAGGUCAUAGUGAUCCGGUGGUUCUGAAUGGAAGGGCCAUCGCUCAACGGAUAAAAGGUACUCCGGGGAUAACAGGCUGAUACCGCCCAAGAGUUCAUAUCGACGGCGGUGUUUGGCACCUCGAUGUCGGCUCAUCACAUCCGGGCUGAAGUAGGUCCCAAGGGUAUGGCUGUUCGCCAUUUAAAGUGGUACGCGAGCUGGGUUUAGAACGUCGUGAGACAGUUCGGUCCCUAUCUGCCGUGGGCGCUGGAGAACUGAGGGGGGCUGCUCCUAGUACGAGAGGACCGGAGUGGACGCAUCACUGGUGUUCGGGUUGUCAUGCCAAUGGCACUGCCCGGUAGCUAAAUGCGGAAGAGAUAAGUGCUGAAAGCAUCUAAGCACGAAACUUGCCCCGAGAUGAGUUCUCCCUGACUCCUUGAGAGUCCUGAAGGAACGUUGAAGACGACGACGUUGAUAGGCCGGGUGUGUAAGCGCAGCGAUGCGUUGAGCUAACCGGUACUAAUGAACCGUGAGGCUUAACCU
rnacentral:rRNA from 1 species